rnacentral:rRNA from 1 species
UGCUCUUCUUGGAUGAGUUGCGAACGGGUGAGUAACGCGUAGGUAACCUGCCUUGUAGCGGGGGAUAACUAUUGGAAACGAUAGCUAAUACCGCAUAACAAUGGAUGACACAUGUCAUUUAUUUGAAAGGGGCAAUUGCUCCACUACAAGAUGGACCUGCGUUGUAUUAGCUAGUAGGUGAGGUAACGGCUCACCUAGGCGACGAUACAUAGCCGACCUGAGAGGGUGAUCGGCCACACUGGGACUGAGACACGGCCCAGACUCCUACGGGAGGCAGCAGUAGGGAAUCUUCGGCAAUGGGGGCAACCCUGACCGAGCAACGCCGCGUGAGUGAAGAAGGUUUUCGGAUCGUAAAGCUCUGUUGUAAGUCAAGAACGAGUGUGAGAGUGGAAAGUUCACACUGUGACGGUAGCUUACCAGAAAGGGACGGCUAACUACGUGCCAGCAGCCGCGGUAAUACGUAGGUCCCGAGCGUUGUCCGGAUUUAUUGGGCGUAAAGCGAGCGCAGGCGGUUUGAUAAGUCUGAAGUUAAAGGCUGUGGCUCAACCAUAGUUCGCUUUGGAAACUGUCAAACUUGAGUGCAGAAGGGGAGAGUGGAAUUCCAUGUGUAGCGGUGAAAUGCGUAGAUAUAUGGAGGAACACCGGUGGCGAAAGCGGCUCUCUGGUCUGUAACUGACGCUGAGGCUCGAAAGCGUGGGGAGCGAACAGGAUUAGAUACCCUGGUAGUCCACGCCGUAAACGAUGAGUGCUAGGUGUUGGAUCCUUUCCGGGAUUCAGUGCCGCAGCUAACGCAUUAAGCACUCCGCCUGGGGAGUACGACCGCAAGGUUGAAACUCAAAGGAAUUGACGGGGGCCCGCACAAGCGGUGGAGCAUGUGGUUUAAUUCGAAGCAACGCGAAGAACCUUACCAGGUCUUGACAUCCCGAUGCUAUUUCUAGAGAUAGAAAGUUACUUCGGUACAUCGGUGACAGGUGGUGCAUGGUUGUCGUCAGCUCGUGUCGUGAGAUGUUGGGUUAAGUCCCGCAACGAGCGCAACCCCUAUUGUUAGUUGCCAUCAUUCAGUUGGGCACUCUAGCGAGACUGCCGGUAAUAAACCGGAGGAAGGUGGGGAUGACGUCAAAUCAUCAUGCCCCUUAUGACCUGGGCUACACACGUGCUACAAUGGUUGGUACAACGAGUUGCGAGUCGGUGACGGCAAGCUAAUCUCUUAAAGCCAAUCUCAGUUCGGAUUGUAGGCUGCAACUCGCCUACAUGAAGUCGGAAUCGCUAGUAAUCGCGGAUCAGCACGCCGCGGUGAAUACGUUCCCGGGCCUUGUACACACCGCCCGUCACACCACGAGAGUUUGUAACACCCGAAGUCGGUGAGG